rnacentral:misc_RNA from 1 species
GGGUUAACGCCUCCGGGCACAAUCCCCACCCUUUGUAACCGCGGCCCGGAUUCGGCGCCUGGCGGGGACCCCCCGCGAACGGGGGGCGGUCCCCGCCUGCCGGAAUUAGCCAACCCUGCCUAGAAAAUUGAAGUCUGAGAACAAGUUAAAUUAAACAAAACUUUCAACAACGGAUCUCUUGGUUCU